GUCUAACUGAUGAGUCUCAAAUAAGAUGAAAUACGUUUCCUGGAU
rnacentral:hammerhead_ribozyme from 1 species